rnacentral:rRNA from 1 species
UCCUACGGGGGGCAGCAGUGGGGAAUAUUGGACAAUGGGGGGAACCCUGAUCCAGCGACGCCGCGUGAGUGAAGAAGUAUUUCGGUAUGUAAAGCUCUAUCAGCAGGGAAGAAAGAAAUGACGGUACCUGAAUAAGAAGCCCCGGCUAACUACGUGCCAGCAGCCGCGGUAAUACGUAGGGGGCGAGCGUUAUCCGGAUUUACUGGGUGUAUAGUGAGCGUAUACGGCGGUGCAAGUCUGGAGUGACAGGC